rnacentral:rRNA from 1 species
AGAUUGAACGCUGGCGGCAGGCCUGACACAUGCAAGUCGAGCGGUAGAGAGAGGCUUGCUUCUCUUGAGAGCGGCGGACGGGUGAGUAAUGCCUAGGAAUCUGCCUAGUGGUGGGGGGAUAACGUUCGGAAACGGACGCUAAUACCGCAUACGUCCUACGGGAGAAAGCGGGGGACCUUCGGGCCUCGCGCCAUUAGAUGAGCCUAGGUCGGAUUUAGCUAGUUGGUGAGGUAAAGGCUCACCAAGGCGACGAUCCGUAAUGGUCUGAGAGGAUGAUCAGUCACACUGGAACUGAGACACGGUCCAAGACUCCGUACGGGAGCAGCGAGGUAGGGGAAUAGUUAGGACUAAGUAGGGACAAAAGGCCUAGAUCCAGCCAUCGCCGG